GGGUCUUCGGAUCGUAAAGUUCUUUUGCCCCGGAGGAACGCUCUGUACAGUAUCUGCUCUUGAAUUGACGUUACUUGAGAAUAAAGCCCCGGCUAACUACGUGCCAGCAGCCGCGGUAAUACGUAUGGUGCAAGCGUUAUCCGGAAUUAUUGGGCGUAAAGCGCGCGCAGGCGGCCAUGUAAGUUGGAUGUUUAAACCUAGGGCUCAACCUUGGAUCGUUUUCAAAACUGGAUGGGUUGAAUGCUUGAAAAGAAAGUGAAAUUUCACGUGUAGCGGUGAAAUGGGUAAAAAUGUGGAAGAACAACCGUGGCUAAGGCGACUUUCUNGGUUGAAACUGACGCUGAGGCCCGAAAGCGUGGGGAGCAAACCGGAUUAGAUACCCUGGUAGUCCACGCCGUAAACCAUGAAUGCUAUGUGUUAUGGGCUCCUAUACCCUUGGUGCCGAACCUAACACGUUAAGCAAUCCGCCUGGGGA
rnacentral:rRNA from 1 species